GUGGCCCACUGCUUAACAGAAGCUCAAAAUCUCUUUGCUCCAGCCAGGGGUUGUGACUUAAGCCUAUAAAUUUUGGGAGGCUGAGGUGGGCAGAUUACUGGAGGCCAGGAGUUCAAGACCAGCCUGGCCAACAUGGCGAAACCCCAUCUUUAUGAGAAAUACAAAAAUUAGCUGGGUGCAUUGGCACAUGCUUGUAAUUCCAGCUACUCGGGAGGCUGAGGCACGAGAGUCACUUGAACCUGGGAGGCGGAGGUUACGGUGAGCCGAGAUCAUGCCACUGUACUCCAGCCUGGAUGACAAAAAUAGACUCCAUCUCAAAAAAAAAAAACGACUUUGCUCUUUUCAUCAAUAAUUAUAAUAUAAUUAUAAAAGAAGGAAAUGGCUUUAUUAUUAGUAGAAGAAAAUACUUCUAAUUGAAUUAGAAUAGAAUUAUUCAUCUAUAAUAAUUAUAAAAAGAAGGAAAAUGAUUAUAUUAUUAAUAGUAGAAGAAAAUCUGGCAGAAAGAACAAAAAAGAUGCAGCUUAGCGGAACCACUGUGUUUGAAAUCAGGAGAUAAAAGACAAAUAGACAAUCUCUCUUACAAAGCAUACUUCACCCUUCCUUCCUAGAGAAGGGGAUCACUGAAAGAUUCUCAAAAGGGUCCUCAUCACAGUUCAAUUCAGAGUCUUAGGGGGACAUCAAGGGAGGUUCCUUGACAUUUCAAUCCUCUGAUCCCAUGGAAACUGUGAAAUCAGAAGCAAGUAUGCUUAAUUUACAGAAUGUCAGACCUGGUUAAGAAUCAUCAGUUUAACCCUCAUCAGGAAAUUGAGGCUCAGUGGAGCCGUGUCCUAUUGAACAUCAUCCAGCCAAUUAGCAUCAGGUCUCAAGUGGGUUUUCUGGGGUUUGCACACACAGUUUCCUCACUAGUUCCGUCCAAAAAAAAGAAAAAUAAAAUAAAGCAGGGUUUGAACUUGAUUUUAUCUUCAACAAAGUGGCGGAAUUGAGUCUUAAAAUGUUUCAGUUACCAAAAACCCAUAAAAUAAAAGAGUAAGACAUCAGGGGAGCAUAUGUGGGAAAGAGGACUAUGAACGAAGCAGUCCAGAGGUCUCACCAAAGAAAUGGCAG
rnacentral:lncRNA from 1 species